GCCCCUAGUAACGGCGAGUGAAGCGGCAACAGCUCAAAUUUGAAAUCUGGCUUCGGCCCGAGUUGUAAUUUGCAGAGGAUGCUUCUGGCGCGGUGCCUUCCGAGUUCCCUGGAACGGGACGCCACAGAGGGUGAGAGCCCCGUAUGGUCGGACACCAAGCCUGUGUGAAGCUCCUUCGACGAGUCGAGUAGUUUGGGAAUGCUGCUCUAAAUGGGAGGUAAAUCUCUUCUAAAGCUAAAUACCGGCCAGAGACCGAUAGCGCACAAGUAGAGUGAUCGAAAGAUGAAAAGCACCUUGAAAAGGGGGUUAAAUAGUACGUGAAAUUGUUGAAAGGGAAGCACUUAUGACCAGACUUGGGCCGGGCGGCUCAUCAGGGGUUCUCCCCUGUGCACUCCGCCCGGCACAGGCCAGCAUCGGUUUUCGCGGGGGGAUAAGACCGUCGGGAACGUAGCACCCUCCGGGGUGUGUUAUAGCCCGGCGGACGAUACCCUCGCGGGGACCGAGGUUCGCGCUCCGCAAGGAUGCUGGCGUAAUGGUCAUCAGUGACCCGUCUUGAAACACGGACMCA
rnacentral:rRNA from 1 species